ACUCCUACGGGAGGCAGCAGUGGGGAAUAUUGCGCAAUGGGGGCAACCCUGACGCAGCCAUGCCGCGUGAAUGAAGAAGGCCUUCGGGUUGUAAAGUUCUUUCGGUAGCGAGGAAGGCAUUUAGUUUAAUAGACUAGGUGAUUGACGUUAACUACAGAAGAAGCACCGGCUAACUCCGUGCCAGCAGCCGCGGUAAUAC
rnacentral:rRNA from 1 species